AGGUGUUCUGAAAUGUCACAUCUGAAACUGGAUGCACCAUAUCAUCAGGUAUUGCUGUUUAUAGCAACUUAUGUCCUUGGCUUCUGUCCAUAAAAUAAGCAAAACCCACCCUCAUACUGCAAGUGAGAUAGAGUGAUGGUAAUGAAUUGCCACUAUGAAGUAUUUCUACAGAAAAGCUUGUGGGAGUGUAAAUAACGCAGUAUUCUGGGCAGAAUUUAAUCAUUAUUCAGUGAAAAGGCCUAAAGCCACUCACUCAUCGGAGAAUGGAGGUGAAAUUUUGAAAAACUUCUGAGAAGUCUGGCUUUGACUUUUGUAAGUCAAAGUGAGAUAAGGAUCUUGCAGAAUUAGUGAUCAAGUCCUUAAAGAGGCUACCACGAAUUAACUUCACAAGUUUAGGAAUAGGACCAGGCAGAGCAAACUAAGAGAGGCUAUCCACUCUGUCUCCACCAUUUUCACCAUCAUGGCAGCACAUCUUUUCCAUGAAAGAACUAGUACAUGUCAGAAUUGUGUUGCUAGAAAGGACAGAUGCCAAGUAGUCAAUACAGUGCAGAACUAAUGAAAUCUUGACGUUAUAGGUUGUGAUUUUUUUUUUAUAUAUAUAAAUGUUUCUACCUCCAGUAGAUGUGAUUUUCCUGGAUAAUGUUAAAGUAGCAACCUCCUGAUCAUGCUGCAGAGGAGGUAUGAGUCAGUGUUUAUGUGUAACUUUAGCCGGUGUAAACAACCAGUUUCUCUGCAUUAUGAAAGUGUUUUGCUGAUAUGGAGCAGCUGACAUGGCCUACAUUUAGACCAUUUCCCCUAACCUUCCUUGAAGUAUUUGUUAGAUUCUGCCUGAUCAGAGAUCAAUCCAGUUUAAAAGUAACAACCCUCCUGUUCUUGUUACCUUCUGAGCUGAACUAAUUAUUUUGCUUUGCUCAGCAGUAACCAUUACUUUGCUUAGACCAUUCUCUUUUCCUUUUUCAUUAUCUAGAAAUAUGUCUUGCCCUCAUUAAAAGCUUUUGUAGGUUCUUUGGCAUGUAAUCAUUAAGUAAUAUAAAAGCAUCAGGGAAAGGUUUGGCAAAGAUGAAGGGAAGUUUCUAGUGAAGAGACACUGAGAGUUGAAAGAAAUGAAUAGGGUGGGGGACAAUGAAAGACCUAGAAACUAAGUUGUCUGAGGAAGGUAAGUACUGGUAAUGGAAAUUACUACCCCUUAGCAGUAAUACAGCAGCAUGUUCAGUUAAGUUCAAAAGUGGGGAACUUAAAAGUUAUUGACAAGAAUUUCUGUCACUAAUUGAUGUCAUAAUUGAAUUAAGAUACUUCUAAAGGACCAUAUCAAAGCCCAAAACUUCAGAAGAUACUGAAAUUAUGAAUGUUAAUGUUGCAAUAACAAUGGUAGGAGAGGUAAGGAGUGGCAAGUUUAUCACCCAAGCUUUUGUCCAAUUUUCAGUUUAAAGAUCUUGGUAAGACUAAAUGAGAGAAGGGAAGAGCACAAGAGAUUAAUCUAUUUGGUUCUUUCUAGAUACGCAUUUGAAACUGGCUAUAGACAUGAUCACCUUCAGGUACUUUCUAUACUGCCAUGAAUUGCUAAUUAAAACUAUUGGGUUAAGAAUGUGCUCAUAUUGGUGAGUUUCGUUAAUGACACUAAUACCUAGAAGCAAGAAGACAUGCAGAGAAAACAGCGCCAUUGUUGACUAUUGAAUACUGCAGAAUGCGAAUCCCUUCCUCUCCUUUAUUCCCUACAAUACAAGUAUAUACAUGUCUAUAACCAGUAUAUUGUAUAUAAUAUUAAUUUUAGUCAAAUCAGUCUCUUUGGAGAUAUGAGACACCACUGUGUGAUCUAGCUGCAGUUCUGAUUGUGUUAGCAUAGUUUGUUCUUCUGCCAGCCUUCAAUUAAAAGAAUAUUGCUUCC
ensembl:lncRNA